rnacentral:rRNA from 1 species
CCUACGGGGGGCAGCAGUGGGGGAUAUUGCACAAUGGGGGAAACCCUGAUGCAGCGAAGCCGCGUGUGGGAAGACUGUCCUCUGGAUUGUAAACCACUGUCCCCAGGGACGAAAAUGACGGUACCUGGGGAGGAAGCUCCGGCUAACUACGUGCCAGCAGCCGCGGUACUACGUAGGGAGCGCGCGUUGUCCGGAAUUACUGGGUGUAAGGGGAGCGUAGGCGGUGAUGCAAGUUGGAUGUCAAAACUACCGGCUCAACUGGUAGUCGCACUCAAAACUGCAGCUCUUGAGUGAAGUAGAGGCAGGCGGAAUUCGUAGUGUAGCGGUGAAAUGCGUAGAUAUUAGGAGGAACACCAGUGGCGAAGGCGGCCUGCUGGGCUUUUACUGACGCUGAGGCUCGAAAGUGUGGGGAGCAAACAGGAUUAGAUACCCCGGUAGUC